rnacentral:rRNA from 1 species
UCAUCUUCGGGGGUAGAGCACUGUUUCGGCUAGGGGGUCAUCCCGACUUACCAACCCGAUGCAAACUACGAAUACCGAAGAAUGUUAUCACGGGAGACACACGGCGGGUGCUAACGUCCGUCGUGAAGAGGGAAACAACCCAGACCGCCAGCUAAGGUCCCAAAGUCAUGGUUAAGUGGGAAACGAUGUGGGAAGGCACAGACAGCCAGGAUGUUGGCUUAGAAGCAGCCAUCAUUUAAAGAAAGCGUAAUAGCUCACUGGUCGAGUCGGCCUGCGCGGAAGAUGUAACGGGGCUAAACCAUGCACCGAAGCUGCGGCAGCGACACUAUGUGUUGUUGGGUAGGGGAGCGUUCUGUAAGCCUGCGAAGGUGUGCUGUGAGGCAUGCUGGAGGUAUCAGAAGUGCGAAUGCUGACAUAAGUAACGAUAAAGCGGGUGAAAAGCCCGCUCGCCGGAAGACCAAGGGUUCCUGUCCAACGUUAAUCGGGGCAGGGUGAGUCGACCCCUAAGGCGAGGCCGAAAGGCGUAGUCGAUGGGAAACAGGUUAAUAUUCCUGUACUUGGUGUUACUGCGAAGGGGGGACGGAGAAGGCUAUGUUAGCCGGGCGACGGUUGUCCCGGUUUAAGCAUGUAGGCUGAUUAUCCAGGCAAAUCCGGAUAAUCAAGGCUGAGGUGUGAUGACGAGGCACUACGGUGCUGAAGUAACAAAUGCCCUGCUU